rnacentral:rRNA from 1 species
AUGAGAGUUGGGAAUACCCGAAGCCUGUGAGCCAACAAACGAGGCAGCAGUCGAAGGUAGAAUCAAUGAUUGGGGUGAAGUCGUAACAAGGUAGC